AAAGUGUAUAAGUGUUCCUUUUUCUCCACAGCCUUGCCAGCAUCUGUUAUUUUUUGUCUUUUUAUUAAUGGCCAUUUGGACUGGUGUGAGAUGAUAUCUCAUUAUGGUUUAGAUUUGCAUUUUCCUGAUGAUUAGUGAUGAGUGGACUGAUCAAGUUGAAAGCAACAGAACAAGCAUCUAUAAGAAUUGAUUAUAUGUCCCAGCAUUUCGGGAGGCUGAGGCAAGUGGAUCCCUUGGGCCUAGGACUUCGCGAGACCAGUUGGGCAACAUGAUGAACUCCUACUAAUUUUCGUCCUUCAGAACAAGAUGGAAGAAACUACGGUCACAUAUGCAAAUGGAGAAGAUGAUGAACACAGAAAAAUUAUGCAAAGAUAAUCCCUAAACCUUCUUUCUCAUCAAAAGUUAUAGCAAGGCGGUUUAAUAUAUCACUGACGGAACAUGAUGCUUUGUUUAAUGAAGACUCAGACGGAAAGGAUCAGACAUCAACCUAUAAAUGCAUCAACCAGAAGGAAAGACCAAUUUUGAAAACUGUUGACCAUUAUUCUAUACCUCUAGCUGUUCUUUUCUGAACCAUGAAUCGGGAGAAUUAUUGUCACUCAUACAUGAGUAUGAGUUGUAAUUCUCAAUUCCCAAGUAAAAAUCUUCCUGCUUUUGUUAU
rnacentral:antisense_RNA from 1 species